rnacentral:rRNA from 1 species
UACGUAGGGUGCAAGCGUUGUCCGGAAUUAUUGGGCGUAAAGAGCUCGUAGGCGGUUUGUUGCGUCGGCUGUGAAAUCCCGAGGCUCAACCUCGGGUCUGCAGUCGAUACGAGCAAACUAGAGUGUUGCAGGGGAGACUGGAAUUCCUGGUGUAGCGGUGAAAUGCGCAGAUAUCAGGAGGAACACCGGUGGCGAAAGGCGGGUUCG